rnacentral:rRNA from 1 species
GACGUAGGGCGCGAGCGUUGUCCGGAUUUAUUGGGCGUAAAGAGCUCGUAGGCGGCUUGUCGCGUCGAAUGUGAAAACCUGCGGCUCAACUGCAGGCUUGCAUUCGAUACGGGCAGGCUCGAGUUCGGUAGGGGAGACUGGAAUUCCUGGUGUAGCGGUGAAAUGCGCAGAUAUCAGGAGGAACACCGGUGGCGAAGGCGGGUCUCUGGGCCGAUACUGACGCUGAGGAGCGAAAGCGUGGGGAGCGAACAGG